GAAAUCAUGCAUUACAAAGAUUAGUCAUCAGCUGUAUAAUUUGGGAGGAUAUCAAAAUAUUUACAAAAAGCGAAUUAUUUUAAAUAAUUUGCAACAAUUGUAGUAAUCUUAUCUUAUAGUUAAACCAAAACAAAUAUUAAAAUGAAUCGUCUGUUUGGAAAAGGUAAGCCAAAGGAGCCAGCACCAAAUCUGAACGAUUGUAUUGCCGGGGUUGAUACUCGUGCGAGUAACAUUGAAGAGAAGAUUACAAAGCUGGAUAAUGAAUUGCGUAAAUAUCGUGAACAAAUGUCGAAAAUGCGCGAAGGACCGGCUAAAAACUCCGUAAAACAGCGAGCUAUGCGUGUGCUGAAGCAGAAAAAGGCUUAUGAACAGCAAGUUGAAGCACUUCGUAAUCAGUCAUUCAAUAUGGAACAGGCUAACUAUGCUGCACAAUCGCUAAAAGACACACAAGCUACUGUAGCUGCAAUGAAGGAUGGUGUCAAACAAAUGCAGAAAGAAUUCAAGAAAGUCAAUAUCGAUCAAAUUGAGGAUAUCCAAGACGAUAUGGCCGAUAUGCUGGAGCAAGCAGAUGAAGUACAAGAAGCUUUAGGUCGUACAUAUGGCAUGCCAGAAGUUGACGAUGACGAACUGCAAGCUGAAUUGGAUGCACUAGGCGAUGAAAUAGCACUCGAUGAUGAUACCAGCUACUUGGAUGACAUGGUAAAAGCACCAUCAGCUCCCGAUAAGGAACCGGGUGCCGACAGUAUCGUACCCGGCAGUAAAAGUGGAAUUGAAACUGACGAGUUUGGCUUGCCUAAAGUGCCCACUUCGGUUAAAACGUCUUAAAUACAUUUUCUUCUGUUUGCGUCUCUAGGAAGAUGUCAAAAAAGUAACGGAAAUUAAGAGAAUUUAAAAGCUAAUCAUCAUUAAAUAAGCUUCAAACAUAAAAACCAAGUUGCUAUUCGCUCCGUGUUUAUAUUUCAUUGAGCCCGUCACUUCAAUUGGUAACUAAUAUUUUUUCUGAAUCUGAUAAUACAAACAUUCGUUUUAGUCUACACAACACCAUUUUAAUUAAAAGCAAUGAUCUCCAGCGUCUUCUGAUGUUUUAUUUAUCAAAUUUUAUAUACUUCUAUUAUUGGUAAUUUUUUAACAAAAUCGUGUAAUUUGAAAUUUUAGUAUCUUGAGUAUAAAUGUAUAUUAACAAGAGAAUAUUUAGCAAUGCUACUUGGCACAGUUGCAUUUAAAAGUAUGGCAAUAUUUAUGUGCAUUAUUUCGUUGACCUAUGUAAUUAAUUGUGAAAUUACAGAGAAACAUACAUUUAAAUAAUUGGGCAUAAUACUUUCACUUACAAUAUACACACAUACACUUAAUUAUUUCAUAAAACUUAAACGAAAAACAAACAAACAGUGCGUUACAGUAAUUCUAUUGCCAUUGGUAUUUUACUUUAAAUGUUUGCGCGCUAAAUGUUUUAAAAAUUGCAAAGGUUUUAUUGUCAAUUGAAACCAAUGAAGUCUUUAGAAUUGAAAAUUUUUAUAAACAUUUUUAAAUUUCGGAAGCAAAAGUUUAAUUAGUACAAAGACAUCGUCAAAAAAGUGUAAAAAGUUGGCUAGAAGCUUUGCAGACUAACGGU